rnacentral:rRNA from 1 species
GAUGAACGCUGGCGGCGUGCCUAAUACAUGCAAGUCGAACGGAGAGAGGAGAUUUCGGUUGAAUCUCUUAGUGGCGAACGGGUGAGUAACGCGUUGGUGACCUGCCCCGAAGAGGGGGAUAACAGCUCGAAAGGGCUGCUAAUACCCCAUGAGAUCUACCCGGUUAGAGGAGGUAGAUGAAAGGAGCAAUUCGCUUCGGGAGGGGCCUGCGUCCCAUCAGCUAGUUGGUAGGGUAAAGGCCUACCAAGGCAAAGACGGGUAGGGGGCCUGAGAGGGUGACCCCCCACACUGGCACUGAAACACGGGCCAGACACCUACGGGUGGCAGCAGUAGGGAAUAUUGCACAAUGGGCGAAAGCCUGAUGCAGCAACGCCGCGUGCGCGAUGACGGCCUUCGGGUUGUAAAGCGCUUUUCGGGGAGAUGAGGAAGGACAGUAUCCCCGGAAUAAGGCUCGGCUAACUACGUG